AAAGAAAAAAAAAAAAAGAGAAAGAGAGAAGUAGAAGACGAAGAAGAAGAAGAAAAUUUGGAGGGUGUCCAAGUGCGUGAAUUGAGCCCUAUUGGAAAUCUCAAUUCUUGAAUUGUAAUUCGGAACCUUUUGUCGUAUGUAGUAACUUCGGGAAAUCGUGAGAAGGGUCGCGUGUGGCCUUUCUUUUAUUGGAGUCGACAUAGCGAGUCGAGGUGGGUUCCGAAUCGUCGAAAACGGCGAAUUUCCCCCUAUGUCUAUUUUGGUACAAGCUAUAUAAUAUUUGAAUGUGCGCAUCUGGUUUACCUUUUUAUUGAUCCGCAGACCGUGAAAAAUUGAAGCAUGAUAGAGAUUUAGCAUUGACAUCUGAUUAUGAGCAGAAGUAUGUAUAUGCAUAUGCGUAUGAUGAUUUAUACGUGAGCAUUGUGUUGAAUAGACGUAGCUCAUGUCCCUGUUUGUGGUUCUCCAUUCAUGACUUUGUUUAUUGAAAGAGAUGCUAUUAGCAUGAAGUUGAGUUCAUAUGCAAAGAUGAAAACUAAUGUAAGCCACACUUCUUUCCUCGCCAUGAUAUAGUAAUUGUCAGCAAUAUUUAGAUAGUUUAAUUCAAGUCUUGGGAAGCCAAUUGACAUUUCAUGUAUCUUGAUUUAGUCAUCUAUUAUUCACUUGUAUCGUGUAUGGCAUAUAGUAUGUGAUAGAAAUGUUAUUUUGAUGCGUCAUUAUUAGUCACUUGUAUCGUGCAUACCAUAUAGUGUGUGUCAGUGGCCGUGGAUAGCGCGGCAAUGGUGUACAGAGAUUUGGACAUAGAGAGGGCCUUUGUUUAUUCUGUCGUGAUGUUUGACCUACUGUUUACUCUAUGAUUACUCUGAGGACAUUGGAUUGGGCACUAUGAUAUUGUUGACCAUGACAUAGACUAUAGCCUGCUGAUGCCACCUUGAGAUGACAGACUUGUGCUAUAAUACUCGGUAGGGGUCGCUCCCCUUCGAGUGCCGCUCCGGACGCUGGCCAGUUAUAUCAGUGAUAUGUGUACCCUUGGGAAGACGACCCACCUGCGGGAGUGGUGUUCGGGCUGGGGGUAGAGCCUAGGUGUCGACGGUGCACCUGCGGGAGUGCGAUUCCGACACUAGGCGGGCACAGGCUUGAUCGGACGUACGAGCCGGUCGUUGUGAUUGGGGGUUCGUAUACUGUCGGUUGAUCGAGGUGAGGGGGAUCGCGCAGUAGUUAUUAUCUCCUACCAGCAUGCAUUUUCAGUAGAGGACCACCAGAUAGAGUGCUAUGUUGUACAAUUUGCCUGCACUGGCGAGGGUCUGGGUUGUUUUCAUGUACUUUUCUUUUGAGGUUGAGGUUCUUUUGGUGAUAUUCGUGUUGUAUGGCAACUUAGCUUGGAAAUAGCACUCUGAUACAUGUUAUUGGUUUAUUCAGUACUUUUCCUUGAUUCA